rnacentral:rRNA from 1 species
GUGUCAGCCGCCGCGGUAAUACAGAGGUCUCAAGCGUUGUUCGGAUUCAUUGGGCGUAAAGGGUGCGUAGGCGGCGCCGUAAGUCUGGUGUGAAAUCUCGGGGCUUAACCCCGAAACUGCACUGGAUACUGCGGUGCUCGAGGACUGGAGAGGAGAUUGGAAUUCACGGUGUAGCAGUGAAAUGCGUAGAUAUCGUGAGGAAGACCAGUGGCGAAGGCGGAUCUCUGGACAGUUCCUGACGCUGAGGCACGAAGGCCAGGGGAGCAAACGGGAUUAGAUACCCCGGUAGUCC